AUUGAACGCUGGCGGCAUGCCUUACACAUGCAAGUCGAACGGUAACAGGUCUUCGGACGCUGACGAGUGGCGAACGGGUGAGUAAUACAUCGGAACGUGCCUAGUAGUGGGGGAUAACUACUCGAAAGAGUGGCUAAUACCGCAUGAGAUCUACGGAUGAAAGCAGGGGAUUGCAAGACCUUGUGCUACUUGAGCGGCCGAUGGCAGAUUAGGUAGUUGGUGGGAUAAAAGCUUACCAAGCCGACGAUCUGUAGCUGGUCUGAGAGGACGAUCAGCCACACUGGGACUGAGAAACGGCCCAGACUCCUACGGGAGGAAGCAGUGGGGAAUUUUGGACAAUGGGCGCAAGCCUGAUCCAGCAAUGCCGCGUGCAGGAUGAAGGCCUUCGGGUUGUAAACUGCUUUUGUACGGAACGAAAAGCCCCGGGUUAAUACCCUGGGGUCAUGACGGUACCGUAAGAAUAAGCACCGGCUAACUACGUGCCAGCCGCCGCCGUAA
rnacentral:rRNA from 1 species